UACGGAGGGUGCAAGCGUUAUCCGGAUUCACUGGGUUUAAAGGGUGCGUAGGCGGGCAGGUAAGUCCGUGGUGAAAUCCCCGAGCUUAACUCGGGAACUGCCAUGGAUACUAUUUGUCUUGAAUAUUGUGGAGGUAAGCGGAAUAUGUCAUGUAGCGGUGAAAUGCUUAGAUAUGACAUAGAACACCAAUUGCGAAGGCAGCUUACUACACAGUUAUUGACGCUGAGGCAACGAAA
rnacentral:rRNA from 1 species